CCUACGGGUGGCAGCAGUGGGGAAUAUUGGGCAAUGGGCGCAAGCCUGACCCAGCAACGCCGCGUGAAGGAAGAAGGCUCUCUGGUUGUAAACUUCUUUUUUCAGGGAAGUGUAGAAGACGGUACCUGACGAAUAAGCCAUUGCUAACUACGUGCCAGCAGCUGCCGUAAUACGUAGGUCGCCAGCGUUGUCCGGAUUUACUGGGUGUAAGGGGCGUGUAGCCGGGUCGAUAAGUCAGAUGUGAAAUCCUGCGGCUUAACCGCAGAACUGCAUUUGAAACUGUUGAUCUUGAGUACUGGAGAGGUAGAUGGAAUGCCUAGUGUAGCGGUGAAAUGCGUAGAUAUUAGGAAGAACACCGGUGGCGAAGGCGGUCUGCUAGACAGCAACUGACGGUGAGGCGCGAAAGCGUGGGGAGCAAACAGGAUUAGAUACCCUAGUAGUC
rnacentral:rRNA from 1 species